rnacentral:misc_RNA from 1 species
UUUGACUGUCGGAUUUGAUGGAACUGGAUUGAACUGAACUGAAACUGAGAGGAUCCCUUCAGUCUGGUCCAGUUCUAGUUCCAGCCGGAAACCAGACUGCACCCAUGAGUUCAUGGCAUCACUGUUUACCUAUCUAGCAGGGCUACCAUGCCUUCUUAAAGAGCUUCUUUCAUUUAGCAGAGCAGUCAAGUGAUAGAAAUUUAAGUGUUGGCUUACCACCUAAAUGAUAAUAGCAAAAGCAAGUAUUAGCAAGUCAGUAAACAAAACAUUUGAACACAAUGUGAUUCCUUUAUUUAACGACUGAGAGCAAUUCUAACAGUUAACUUAUGGGCACAUGGAGGAGCAAUUUAGUAUAUAAUUAAUACUUAUCUCACCUCUAUCAAUUUUACGAAAGUUACUGAAGAUAAAGGCUACUUUUAAUCAUUUUAUUACAAUAUAUGAUACGACACCAUGUAAUUUGCCAUAAUCAGGUUUGGUUGGUGGGUCUUGUUUAUGAUGAGGAAAUGAAAUAUUAUUGAAUGCAAAUAAAUAGAGAAUAUAAUAAACCAAGGUGCUAAACUCUUCUGAUUGAAUAUGAUAAAGCCUGUAAAACAACAAGCUACUAUCAUUGGUUGAGAUCUUCAAACUAAAUGCACAAAUAGACAGCAUAGCAGCCACUGCAACUUAAAUCCUUAAUUGAAAACUACUUAAGACAAGUAACUUGAACUUUCUUUUUAUCAUACAACCAAUGACAUCUUUCAUAUAAUAACCAAAACUUUGGUCUAGUGCCUACACCUUUGAGAGCUUUUUUAAUAAAAUCACUCUUACAUAAUGAUAGAUAAGAAGUUCUACAUUGUAAACGAACAAAAUCUUUGACGAACUAAUAACCAAAACCUCCUGCAGUUAGGGGCAAUGCUCAGCCUCAAGGCUACUAGCCCAAAGAUGACACUCACAUCUUUAUCCUACUAAAACUAAAAUACUAAAAACCAUAUAUCAAAUUUAGCUUGCUUAACCCAAAACCCUCCAACACAAUUCUGAUUUGUGAUCAGCCCCAGCUUGCUGUUGAUCAUUAAUCCCAUAAUUAAAAUUAUCUGAGAGUGUUAAAUUUCCUACUAGUUCAGGAAUUCAUGUCGCUAUUGUCUGUAUCUGGGUUUGGCAUGGCCUGGAACAGUGCUUCACCAACAAGCUUCAACUGUUCCAUAAAUGCUAUUAUAUGGUAACUGGAAUGGUAAAGGUCCGCCAACCUUAAAGUGCCCCCCCUUUCUUCCUCACUGGACUGGGGUGGGACCACACAAAAGGCAUCUUUAUGCUUCCAGUAAACUGUAACAGCUAGAAUAAUAGACAGCGAUGGCUAGCUAAGAUAAGAUACCAAGUUAUCAACCCAACUUAUAGAAGUAUUUAGUGCAACAGUCCACUUAUCAUAAUUCUACAAGUCCUCGAGAAUAAUUGGGUUCAUAUUCGAAAUUAUAAUCUAAACAGCAAAAGCCACCAAUAUAACACCUUGCAAGCACCGUACCACAACAAUUAAAGCUCUCUUGUAAACUGGAUAUAUAUGAAACAGCAUGCUGCUGUAUAAAAGCAUACACAUUGAACAUAAUAUGUAAGCAUGAAAUAUCAUUUUUAUAUGGGUGGGGAGGGGAGGGAAAGAGCCAGAAGACUUACUGUGUUGACAUGGCAGAAUCCUGAGCUUCUCUCCAACGCUAUAGUCUUCAAGGCAUAUGGCACAUGUUCUUGAAGUACAGUUAUCCUCUAGAACAGCUGUG